CUUGAACAAGUGGCUAUAUAAGAGAUGAAGUUUCACUCUCUUUAUAGCAUUUUUGUGGGAUGUGUCAGUGAGAAUGGCUAGCAAGCAAGUCUAUUAGUCACCAUUGUUUUAGGGUCCAUUUCUCGUACCCCAUUUUGUUACACACUUGAUAUAUGAUUUAUCUUGCUCAAAAGAAGUCUCAUUUUAAUAAGAUUUUAUUCAUAUAUGCACUAUGCAGUGUGCUUCAUGUAAUUAUUUGAAGUAGGCAAAUAGUUUAUUUUUUCAGAGUUAUUUGAUCGUUGAUAGUUCUUUCAAGUUUCACGUUGAUUUGGUGCAAUCCUUCAUCAAAGUCGUCAUUAUCACAUAAUUUGUGAAUCAGACUUCGGAUCGAACCUCUGACCACAUGCUUAAAGGACAAAGUUACUUCUCAACCAUGUCACACAAUGUUGGUCUUCAAUAUGAUGGGGCAGUUUCAUUGUAUCAUAAUUUGCUUACCAUAGAUUCAGCUUACAAGUAAGAGUAAAAUGAAAAACUGGUUGUCUUACCUGGUAUUUCUGCUUUUAAUACAUAGCCUUCACCUGUCUGACACCAAUCCACAGUGUUUUGGCUGGAACUCCUUAAAUGAGAUAACAACACAUCUGACUCAAACUCCCAUAGAGGGAAGGCAUCAGAAGGAUCAAAGAACUUCCCAAACAACAGUGGACUGAAAAGUGAUCCAUCACCAAAAACCUUAUGCACUGUUGGAUUAAUCUGGCUGAAAAAUCUCUUGAAAGCCUCUUCCCCCAGUGAAACACACCAUUUAUGUGGAGUUUGAUCUUCUGUUUGAACCUCAAGCCUUUUGUUAGAACUAGUCAUUAAUGCUUAGGAAACUGAGCAAUUGUUAGGCUCUGAUGAAGAGAGUUUUGUUGCCUUUCUCUUAUAGUGUGAGAGAAGCUAUAUGAUAAAACACAGAACAAAUUCCUUUGGCAUAUUUGGAGGCUGUAAAGCUAUAAGGGAAUAUUUUCUUUUCUCAAAUUUUCUCCUUUCUAAAGAGAACCAUGUCUGGCAUAUUACGUAUGGCUAAAGGAUAUGUGGUAUCCCUGUGCAUUUUGGGUUGUCUAGCACAAGAUGUGGAAAAAUGGAAAGGGAUGCCAAUCAAGUCAAAGUCCUGUGACAAGUGAUAGAUGCUCUAGCAGAAUCUUGGAACCCUUGUAGGAAUACUUUGGCUUAAUUAUAUGCAUUAGUCAUGAUAA